UCCCUCUCAGGAUCACACUUGGAGAGUUUCCAGUACUCUGCCAGUCUCGGCUACUGGAGGGAGAGUCAAGCAGAGGCAAUCCCAGUCCAUUCGUAGCUUGGGCAGUGGCUAACGAUUGGAAGGCGAUCUGCUACAAGU